rnacentral:miRNA from 1 species
UCACUCGUCGCGAGCGGUCAC